rnacentral:rRNA from 1 species
GUGGGGGAUAUUGCACAAUGGGCGAAAGCCUGAUGCAGCGACGCCGCGUGAGGGAAGACGGUCUUCGGAUUGUAAACCUCUGUCUUCGGGGAAGAAGAAUGACGGUACCCGAGGAGGAAGCCACGGCUAACUACGUGCCAGCAGCCGCGGUAAUACGUAGGUGGCGAGCGUUGUCCGGAAUUACUGGGUGUAAAGGGAGCGUAGGCGGGGAUGCAAGUUAAAUGUGAAAUGUAUCGGCUCAACCGGUAACUGCUUUUAAAACUGCAUUUCUUGAGUGGGGUAGAGGCAGGCAGAAUUCCUAGUGUAGCGGUGAAAUGCGUAGUUAUUAGGAGGAACACCAGUGACGAAGGCGGCCUGCUGGGCCUUAACUCACGCUGAGUCUCGAAAGCGUGGGGAGCAAACAGGAUUAGAAACCCGGGUAGUCC